rnacentral:tRNA from 1 species
GGGUCAUUAGCUCAGUUGGUAGAGCAACUGCCUCUUAAGCAGAAGGUCCCGGGUUCGAAUCCCGGAUGACCCACCA